AUAACCAUAAUUCUUUAGUCAUUCAGGCAGUAAUAGAACUAGACUUGUCAAACCCUAUUUGGUUUCAGCUACAUUCUCUCGCAUAUCACUUCAAAAUGAAAUUAUGUUCUGUUCUGGGAUUUCAACUCAAAAAACUUUAAAUUUUCCUCAAGAAAGAAAUAAACACAAUCUGGAUUUUUUUAUUUUUUUAAUGGGUAAUGGCAGAGUACACAUUUUGGGCCUCAUUAAAAACCAUGGGAAUGAUGACUAAAAAUUCCUUCAAUGGUUCUUUAGGUUGAAAGACAUUCAGUAAUGAAAUAGGUGUAACAUGCUCUGUUGGUUUUCUAACACAUACAUAAUUUAUGAAAAUAUUCACAGAAUUUUAUGGUCAC